rnacentral:misc_RNA from 1 species
UCAAACUUGGUCAUUUAGAGGAAGUAAAAGUCGUAACAAGGUCUCCGUUGGUGAACCAGCGGAGGGAUCAUUAACGACACGAGUCUUUAAAAACUCGAAAACCCCCCUGUGGACGAAAUUUUACCAAGCAUGGUUGGCUCGGUAGGCGCUCUCUGGGACGAGGGCUAGCGCUGUCGAAGCCGCGGCAGGCCUGCCGGCAGAAGCCAACCACACCCAUAACUCUGGUUGUACCAAGUCUUUCUGAGAAAUUGACGGAAAUAUCAAAACUUUCAACAACGGAUCUCUUGGUUCCGGCAUCGAUGAAGAACGCAGC